rnacentral:rRNA from 1 species
UACGAAGGGGGCUAGCGUUGCUCGGAAUCACUGGGCGUAAAGCGCACGUAGGCGGAUUGUUAAGUCAGGGGUGAAAUCCUGGAGCUCAACUCCAGAACUGCCUUUGAUACUGGCGAUCUCGAGUCCGGGAGAGGUGAGUGGAACUGCGAGUGUAGAGGUGAAAUUCGUAGAUAUUCGCAAGAACACCAAGUGGCGAAGGCGGCUCACUUGGCCCGAUACUACGCUGGAGGCACGAAAGCGUGGG